rnacentral:rRNA from 1 species
AGCAGCCGCGGUAAUUCCAGCUCCAAUAGCGUAUAUUAAAGUUGUUGCAGUUAAAAAGCUCGUAGUUGAAUUUCGGGAUCAGUUUGUUGGUCGUGCUUCGGUACGUACUGUCAUUACUGGUUUCUACCUUCUGAAGAACCUUGAUGUCAUUAAUUUGGUGUCUUGGGGAAUCAGGACUGUUACUUUGAAAAAUUAGAGUGUUUAAAGCAAGCAUACGCUUGAAUACAUUAGCAUGGAAUAAUGAAAUAGGACGUUUGAUUCUAUUUUGUUGGUUUCUAGGAUCGACGUAAUGAUUAAUAGGGAUAGUUGGGGGCAUUAGUAUUCAAUUGUCAGAGGUGAAAUUCUUGGAUUCAUUGAAGCUAACUACUGCGAAAGCAUUUGCCAAGGAUGUUUUCAUUAAUCAAGAACGAAAGUUAGGGGAUCGAAGACGAUCAGAUACCGUCGUAGUCUUAACCAUAAACUAUGCCGACUAGGGAUCGGAUGAUGUUAUUUUAAUGACUCA